rnacentral:rRNA from 1 species
GAUGAACGCUGGCGGCGUGCCUAAUACAUGCAAGUCGAGCGAACGGACGAGAAGCUUGCUUCUCUGAUGUUAGCGGCGGACGGGUGAGUAACACGUGGAUAACCUACCUAUAAGACUGGGAUAACUUCGGGAAACCGGAGCUAAUACCGGAUAAUAUUUUGAACCGCAUGGUUCAAAAGUGAAAGACGGUCUUGCUGUCACUUAUAGAUGGAUCCGCGCUGCAUUAGCUAGUUGGUAAGGUAACGGCUUACCAAGGCAACGAUGCAUAGCCGACCUGAGAGGGUGAUCGCCCAAAUGGGAAAUGACAACCGGUCCAGCCCCGUACGGGGGGCCGCAGUAGGGAAUUUUCCGCAAGGGGGGAAAGCCUGACGGAGCAACGCCGGGGGGGUGAUGAAGGUUUUCGGAUCGUAAAACUCUUUUAUUAGGGAAAAACAUAUGUGAAAGUAACUGUGCACAUCUUGACGGUACCAAAUCAAAAAGCCACGGCUAACUACGU